rnacentral:rRNA from 1 species
GACGAACGCUGGCGGCGUGCUUAACACAUGCAAGUCGUACGGUAAGGCCCUUUCGGGGGUACACGAGUGGCGAAUGGGUGAGUAGCACGUGAGUAACCUGCCCACAACUUUGGGAUAACGCUAGGAAACUGGUGCUAAUACUGGAUAUGUGCUCCUGCUGCAUGGUGGGGGUUGGAAAGCUCCGGCGGUUGUGGAUGGACUCGCGGCCUAUCAGCUUGUUGGUGGGGUAGUGGCCUACCAAGGCGGCGACGGGUAGCCGGCCUGAGAGGGUGACCGGCCACAUUGGGACUGAGAUACGGCCCAGACUCCUACGGGAGGCAGCAGUGGGGAAUAUUGCACAAUGGGCGCAAGCCUGAUGCAGCAACGCCGCGUGCGGGAUGACGGCCUUCGGGUUGUAAACCGCUUUCAGCAGGGACGAAGCUUUUUGUGACGGUACCUGCAGAAGAAGCACCGGCUAACUACGUG